rnacentral:rRNA from 1 species
GACGAACGCUGGCGGCGUGCCUAAUACAUGCAAGUAGAACGCUGAAGGAGGAGCUUGCUUCUCUGGAUGAGUUGCGAACGGGUGAGUAACGCGUAGGUAACCUGCCUGGUAGCGGGGGAUAACUAUUGGAAACGAUAGCUAAUACCGCAUAAUAGUAGAUGUUGCAUGACAUUUACUUAAAAGGUGCAAUUGCAUCACUACCAGAUGGACCUGCGUUGUAUUAGCUAGUUGGUGGGGUAACGGCUCACCAAGGCGACGAUACAUAGCCGACCUGAGAGGGGGAUCGGCCACACUGGGACUGAGACACGGCCCAGACUCCUACGGGAGGCAGCAGUAGGGAAUCUUCGGCAAUGGACGAAAGUCUGACCGAGCAACGCCGCGUGAGUGAAGAAGGUUUUCGGAUCGUAAAGCUCUGUUGUAAGAGAAGAACGAGUGUGAGAGUGGAAAGUUCACACUGUGACGGUAUCUUACCAGAAAGAGACGGCUAACUACGUG